GUGAACGCCCCUCACGGGCUUAUAACUAUUCCAAACCUCUGUGAACCGUGCCCUUCGGGGCUAUUUUACAAACAUGGUGUAAUGAACGUCAUAUAUCAUAACAAAACAA
rnacentral:misc_RNA from 1 species